rnacentral:rRNA from 1 species
UACAGAGGUCUCAAGCGUUGUUCGGAUUCAUUGGGCGUAAAGGGUGUGUAGGUGGCGCCGUAAGUCGGGUGUGAAAUUUCGGAGCUUAACUCCGAAACUGCAUUCGAUACUGCCGUGCUUGAGGACUGGAGAGGAGACUGGAAUUUACGGUGUAGCGGUGAAAUGCGUAGAUAUCGUAAGGAAGACCAGUGGCGAAGGCGGGUCUCUGGACAGUUCCUGACACUGAGACACGAAGGCCAGGGGAGCAAACGGG